rnacentral:rRNA from 1 species
UACGUAGGUGACCAGCGUUGUCCGGAUUUACUGGGCGUAAAGAGCGCGCAGGCGGUCGUUCAAGUCGAGUGUGAAAGCCCCCAGCUCAACUGGGGAGGGUCACUCGAUACUGAUCGACUUGAAGGCAGGAGAGGGAAGCGGAAUUCCCGGUGUAGUGGGUGAAAUGCGUAGAUAUCGGGAGGAACACCAGUGGCGAAGGCGGCUUCCUGGCCCUGUUCUUGACGCUGAGGCGGCGAAAA